ACGAACGCUGGCGGCGUGCCUCAUACAUGCAAGUCGCGCGGACUUUCCAGAAGCUUGCUUUUUGAAAGUUAGCGGCGGACGGGUGAGUAACACGUGGGCAACCUGCCUGCAAGACGGGGAUAACUCCGGGAAACCGGGGCUAAUACCGGAUAAUAUCUUCCUUCGCAUGAAGGAAGGUUGAAAGGCGGCGCAAGCUGCCGCUUGCAGAUGGGCCCGCGGCGCAUUAGCUAGUUGGUGAGGUAACGGCUCACCAAGGCGACGAUGCGUAGCCGACCUGAGAGGGUGAUCGGCCACACUGGGACUGAGACACGGCCCAGACUCCUACGGGAGGCAGCAGUAGGGAAUCUUCCGCAAUGGACGAAAGUCUGACGGAGCAACGCCGCGUGAGCGAAGAAGGUCUUCGGAUCGUAAAGCUCGGUUGUCAGGGAAGAACAAGUACCGUUCGAACAGGGCGGUACCUUGACGGUACCUGACCAGAAAGCCACGGCUAACUACGUG
rnacentral:rRNA from 1 species